ACAGCCACAGCCUUCCCUUUGUUUACUACCCUCACAGUCAGGUUUCUGUGAACACCGUUCAAAACAACACAGGGUGGUCCUGAAGAAACACCAUGCUUCAUGCAUGACUGUCUCGCACACAGAAAACCUUCCAGACAGAGACAAACACACUCGUCUUAUUUACAGUUCACCCAUGCUCAUCCCAACUUGAAUUUCUUCCAGAUCUGCCAGAGGAAGUGAAGCAGGCAGCCUGAUGUGCUGCUGGGAGUCGCUUCUCUGCCAUGCCUUCUGCAUCCCACAGAGCCGGCCUGGUCUGCAUCGGUGAUCUCCUAAUGGGUCUACAUAGAACUGCGGGACUUGCAAGGUGUACAAGAUACUAACAGUGUACAGGCAGGACAGCCAAAACCGCCAUUUUUCCCAAAUUUGGAACUCAUACUUCUGUUGAUUCAUCAUCUGUGAUGACAAAAUCAAGCUGCAAGAGCACCACAGGCCGAAGUGUUUGUAGCCACAGUGCAUGUUCUCAUUACUUGCUCUUCUAUUGGCAAAAGACCGUGUAGGUCUUUUGGGACCUUUUUACACAAUACACUGUGAGAUGUGGAAGUGUCACAAGAAAAGCCAUUCACACUAUGGGCACAGUGGGUGGAGUUUUCACCUUGUCCAAGUAGCACAAAUGAGUAAUUUAGAACAUAAAACAAGGGAAAAAUUGUAGAUAAAUAGACAAUCUCCUUCUCACUGUGUCACGCUGGCUAUUCCUUUAUCUCUGUCACACCUGAAGGUCAGAGUGCCUUCAGUGUCUGGUGGUAUGUGUAUCAGUGUGUAUGCGACCACCUUGGAUUUCAAAGGACCACCUAGUUAAACAAGAUCCUUCCUUGUGGUGAACUCCACCAUCAAUUUUCAGUCAUGGCCUGGGCUUGCAGGAAUGAGAAGGUGUGAUGAAAACCAUGGAUGAGGAAUUGCCUGGCAAGGAAAGAGAAAGGGUGCUGCAGCAAAGGUCUAGGACUUGAAGGCAUUUGUGAAGCUAUUCAUUUACCACCUGAAUGUUACUAAAUGAUUUUGCUCAUCUGAGAAAGCUUGCACGUAUUUAUGGGUCUAAGGAAAAAAACAGAGGUUGCAAAACUUUUGUGUAUGAAAGGCAACUUUUGUAAAAAGAUGAGAAAAACACUGCUAGUGAGCCACCAGGAAUAUUUUCCUUGCAGAGCCUGUCACUUUAGACAGUGGCUGAAAUGGUGGUGGAGGGUGGGACAAAGCAGGAGACCAGCAGGUUCAUAAGCUACAGUGGGACAGUGGGAGGUGGCACAUAUGUCCAUUAGCUUUGGGAAGCUCAACACAGAACCAUCAACAGAGCUUACUGUGGUUUGGAAGGUGAUGGGGUGCAUUCCUGUAAAGUAUCAAGAACACAUUAUUCCUGAAGCUGGACACAGGGAUCUUGGUAUGUUGAGAUGUCAAGGUUAAGUUACUUGCAUAUUUGGAUGGACGCAACUCUUUUGGUAAUUCUACUGGAAGCCAUUUAUUUCUUAAUUGGAAAUUACAUAGAAUUGUUCAAGACUACCAUGAAUGUUGAGAGUCUGGACAAACAAAACAGUUAUGGGGAACAAAACAGCAAAAUACUACCUGCAACCUAUUAUUAAUAUAGGCUGGCCACUCAUUGACUGUACAUUACCCUUUGUUUUCAGUAGCAUACAUCCAUCCCAGUAUGUGAAUAGAUCUUUGGACCAUCUCUUUCACUGAAAGUUUUGCAAGGCCACCCUUACAGGGGACAAGAGACACAAUCAGUGAAAAUGUAUCUUUCUGAUUUACCUUUCUGAUUUACAUUUUUUCAUUAAAAGUAUUAAAUUGCUAUUGAAAAUGCAACAAAGGCAAAUUUGCUUAUGAGAGGAACUUGCUAGUGAACAUCUCCCAUACCAUUGCCAUAGCAUGUUAAACAAACAUGCUUGCUUAUUGCAGUAUAGAAGGGAACUUGAGGAGGGACUAAGAACCCACAAAAGAUAUGUGGAAGAAAACACUACAUGUCCACCAGUAAAGUGAUAAACUCUCAUAUUGCUUUUAGGCUCUGUAGCCAGCAUGGCUCACAACUAUAACAAUAAACAGAAUAGGGUGGCCCCAUCCAACCUGCCUGGUUGGAAAGAGCCCUCUCAUGUAAGGGGAGUCUUCUGGGCAGAGGUCCCAUGUCAGGGACCACACUGACAGUGUAGCAGGAUGAAGAAGAGCAAGUUCCAGUCCUUCGGAAUAUUCUCUGACACUGUUUACUGCAGUGGAGAGAUACAACUAUAGAGCACAGAAACCUCUGCAGGUUGUUCCCACUGCUAUUUCCUCAGGGUGGGUGCAGCAGGAGAAGUAUAGCUGUGAGUCUCGGUCAAAACACUUGUUCUGCCUGUCUUUGCUGUUCUGUAAGGUUGGGCAAGUUCCUCUUCCCCCAUAAAACUAUUUUCCUAAAUCCUCUUCUAUCCUAUGGUUUUUCCCUUUCUUUGUUUUACCGUACCCUCAAUAAAAAGAAGCCCACUACUACAAAAGAAA